GACGAACGCUGGCGGCGUGCCUAAUACAUGCAAGUAGAACGCUGAAGGAGGAGCUUGCUUCUCUGGAUGAGUUGCGAACGGGUGAGUAACGCGUAGGUAACCUGCCUGGUAGCGGGGGAUAACUAUUGGAAACGAUAGCUAAUACCGCAUAAUAGUAGAUGUUGCAUGACAUUUGCUUAAAAGGUGCAAUUGCAUCACUACCAGAUGGACCUGCGUUGUAUUAGCUAGUUGGUGGGGUAACGGCUCACCAAGGCGACGAUACAUAGCCGACCUGAGAGGGUGAUCGGCCACACUGGGACUGAGACACGGCCCAGACUCCUACGGGAGGCAGCAGUAGGGAAUCUUCGGCAAUAGACGGAAGUCUGACCGAGCAACGCCGCGUGAGUGAAGAAGGUUUUCGGAUCGUAAAGCUCUGUUGUAAGAGAAGAACGAGUGUGAGAGUGGAAAGUUCACACUGUGACGGUAUCUUACCAGAAAGGGACGGCUAACUACGCG
rnacentral:rRNA from 1 species